CGACGGCGCGCGAAGAAAGCUUGCUUUCUUUGGCGGCGAGUGGCGAACGGGUGAGUAAUAUAUCGGAACGUGCCCAGUAGCGGGGGAUAACUACGCGGAAAGCGUGGCUAAUACCGCAUACGCCCUACGGGGGAAAGGGGGGGAUCGCAAGACCUCUCACUAUUGGAGCGGCCGAUAUCAGAUUAGCUUGUUGGUGAGGUAAAGGCUCACCAAGGCCGCGAUCUGUAGCUGGUUUGAGAGGACGACCAGCCACGCUGGGACUGAGACACGGCCCAGACUCCUACGGGAGGCAGCAGUGGGGAAUUUUGGACAAUGGGGGAAACCCUGAUCCAGCCAUCCCGCGUGUGCGAUGAAGGCCUUCGGGUUGUAAAGCACUUUUGGCAGGGAAGAAAAGGCGCCGGAUAACACCUGGCGCUGAUGACGGUACCUGCAGAAUAAGCACCGGCUAACUACGUGCCAGCAGCCGCGGUAAUACGUAGGGUGCAAGCGUUAAUCGGAAUUACUGGGCGUAAAGCGUGCGCAGGCGGUUCGGAAAGAAAGAUGUGAAAUCCCAGAGCUUAACUUUGGAACUGCAUUUUUAACUCCCGAGCUAGAGUAUGUCAGAGGGGGGUAGAAUUCCACGUGUAGCAGUGAAAUGCAUAAAGAUGUGGAGGAAUACCGAUGGCGAGGCAGCCCCUGGGAUAUACUGACGCUCAUGCACAAAGCGUGGGGAGCAACAGGAUUAGAUACCCUGGUAGUCCACGCCCUAACGAUGUCACUAGCUGUUGGGCUUCGGCCUUAGUACGCACUAACGCGUGAAUUGACAGCCUGGGGAGUACGGUCGCAAGAU
rnacentral:rRNA from 1 species